AUGCAGAAAAAAACAAAUAUUGAUUCAAGCAUUUUACAAUUUUUAAACCCACUAAAUAGGCCUUUUAUGGUAUACAGUGUCAAACCCUCACAAUAUACAAUCGAGAGAAAUCUGUGUCUUUUCCUUGGUAUACAGCAGACAUUAUGUAUAGUAGCCAACCUGUAUCGUGCAACACUACACAAAUUCUUUUCAGUAGCACAUCUCACAUAUAGGAAUCAGAAAGCCACUAGAGAAAGCCUAUUCCUCACCAUUUUCACCAUCAUUCGAAGGCAACGCUGUUACUGAUUGCUCUGUAUAUGUGCAGCAGCCAUGUCAUCAGCACACACGAAUAGUCUGCCAACUCCCACAGGGUGCUUUAUGCUGAAUACACAUGUAAGUAACACACUUUAAUCCUUGAGCAUAGUCAAAAAGGUAGAGAUGGAUAAAGCACAGCCAGAGAUGGAGGCCAAUGAAGAGGGAAGGAUUUAGGAGGCAGACAGAAAACAAAAUUGAGCGAGAGAGAGCAGAUGUCUACAGUCCCAAGAGUCCCAUUGUUUCAGCCUAAUCUAUCCAGUGGACGACGUGUUUGACUUUCUCCAUCCAUCUCUGCCUCCCACAGCUACCAAUGCAAAUCUGAAGUAGUGAGAUACUGUAGGACCCUUUCACAAGCACAAAAAUCAUUGAGAUGCAUUUCUCUGUCUCUUUACAUGUUCAUUCUAUCCUUUCUCUAAACCUCUGUUGCCCACUCUAGAUCUGCCUUUCUAUUCCAGUACACACAGUGCUGGCAAACCUUUAUCACCACAAAAUCCCACAUUCCAAAGCAUCUUUCAUAUUCCAUUUUACCCGGACAUAGGCAACAAUGAAUGACAAAGAAAGCCCUUAGAAUAACACUAACACAUACUGCUUAUUUUUGUGCAGCUUAGAAUCCAAUCAGGAACCAAGAUACUUAAUCUGCAUCAAAUCAGUGUCGUCAUUUCAACCUAUCAUUAUCCAACUAAUCUAAAAUAGUCUCUGAAACUUGAUACAGCAUCAUCUGCAUUUAACAAUCUAAAAAAAAAAAAAAAAGUCAACAAAAAGAGUUUUGAACAGCAUUUGUUUCAAAUAAUCGUUUCUAUGGGCUAUACAACAGCUUCUGAUGCAUAAGAGGCAAGGUCUAGAUUUGCAAGUUAUUCCUUGCCUUUUUCUCUCUUUCUGCUUUUGUUGUUUUUGACUGUAGAACAACAAGACUCACCAGUUAAAAUAAAAAAAAAAUAAAAAAAAGUACCUGAGAAUGA
ensembl:lncRNA